AGUCUCUCAUAGAAACUUCUGGCCUCUGGACACUGUGGGAGCAACUUUUCCUUUAUUAGACUGUCUCCUCUUUAACUGCAUGACUGGGAAGCCUGUCCUUCAUUACUUCAAUUGAAGAAGAAGAAUGGAGUCCAUCCGGUGGCUCCUGGCAGCAGCUGGAGUAGAGUUUGAGGAAGAACUUUUUGAAACCCAUGAAGAGUUUGAGAAGUUAAUCCAAGGUGGAACCCUGAUGUACGAGCAAGUGCCCAUGGUGGAAAUCGAUGGAAUGACUUUGGUGCAGACCAGUGCCAUCUUAAGAUAUGUAGCUGCAAAAUAUGACUUGUAUGGAAGGAACCUGGAGGAACAAGCCUGGAUUGAUAUGUAUGUAGAGGGCUUAAGAGACCUGAGCGACAUGAUAAUGUACUUUCCACUCUCUCUGCCAGAAGAGAAGGAGAUGAACCUUGAAUACAUCCUCCACCGAGCUACAACAAGAUUCUUCCCCGUUUAUGAGAAGGCCCUGAGAGACCACGGGCAAGACUUUCUUGUGGGCAAUCGGCUGAGCUUGGCUGAUGUCCAGCUCCUUGAAGUCAUCUUAAUGGCUGAAGAAUGCAAAGCCAGUGUUCUCUCGGGUUUCCCUCUGCUACAGGACUUCAAGGUGAGAACCAGCCAAAUUCCUACAAUUAACAGCUUCCUCCAACCUGGAAGCCAGAGGAAGCCUCCUUUGGAGGAGCGAUCCAUUGGGACUGCAAAGGACAUAUUCAAAUUUGAAUGAGGACUGUUUCUUAAAAACAUGAGCAAUAUAGUAGCUGAGUAUUAACAGCUACAGAGGCUGGAGUUACUCAGUAAGUAUACUGAGUAACUUGACACUGCAUUCAUAAAAAGACACUCACUAAGUAUAUGGCCAGAGAAAUAUCCUGAAGUUAGUAAUAAAUGUUAGGAAUCUUAGUAUGUUAGCAAUGUUAGAAUGUUAGUAAUGGAAAUAUUAAAUGUGUAAGAGAAAAACUACUAGAAGCUUAUCAAUAAACUACAAGAACCAACUCUUGUUUGAAGUAAGACAGGCUACCAAGACAGAAUUCAGAAAAUCCAAGGAGCCCUCGGCCUUCUGUAUGAUCCUAGAAUAAACUUGUAUGUAGCAAGUGAAA
rnacentral:lncRNA from 1 species